AGUCUGGUCUUGCACCCGUUUCGCUCAUUCUAAAUGGGUAUUACUCAGAGUUCUAAACUUCAGAAUGCGGAAGAUAGCCAAAUUAGAUUGCUUUCUGUGCUAUCGAAUAAUGGAUGCGGUAUGAUGCUGUUGUACACUAUUCUACACAUAAGGAUAAUAAUAUCUGAGAUCGACGCCAUUUUUGUUUUCAAACAUACACUAAUAAUCUAUAGCAAGGAAUUAUUUAAAUACAAUGAACAACAGACCUGAAAAAUAUAACAAACUUUCAAGAGCAAAUUGAUGCUCUUAAUUACUAUUUUGAGAAUGGCAUGAAAUCUACUCUGUGUUUUGAGCUGAUAAAAACAGCCACCGAAGAAACGUCGUUGUCUGUGGACAAGGUCAAGAAGUGGAUUGGUAACAAAGUUGCUUCUGUCAAAAGAAAAUGUCAAUCUAAUAAUUCACAGUCACCCCUACCCUCAUGCAAUCCACCAAAAGUCCCCAAACCACCACCCAGAUUACGGAGGUCAAGCGGAUAUAAUCUAUUUUGCUCCGAAUUUUUUAAAUCAGAUGAAGUAAAGGGGUUGUCUCACCUGAGUGAAAAAAAUAAAUUGGCUUCUGUCAAAUGGAUUGGUUUAGGAGAAUCCGAGCAAAAUAAAUACGUACAGAAAGCUAAUGACAUGAAAAACAACCCACUGAACCCAGUGGCAUUAGAUGAUGCUCAAAGAACAAAAUUGGUUGAUCAGCAUAAGAACAAAAUUGGUUGAAACUGUUAGCUGAGGAGCUCAGUUACUUGGAGAAUCUUGGUUGCCAGGCCAGCUGCUUACUGGUGAAUGUAAAAAAGAACUUUAUGUCCUUGGUUCAUCUGGAGGAAAAAGAUUUGUUCACAAUGAACCAGCAGUUUUGUGCAAGUUUCAAGCAAUGCUUGGAGAUGUAGACCAAGAGAAAAACGGAAAUGGACUCAUGAAGAUGUAAGAAUGCUCUUUAACAAGAAGUAUGUUGCCCAAAAUAUUUUGCCACGUAUGAACUCAACGGACGAAGCCAUUUGACGCUUAACUUAUCAGAACGUUAAGAGAUCUGAAAGAUCGAAUAUUUGAAGCUUCAACCGUCGACCAGUGAAAGUUGCACAAAAUAUUUUGCCACGUAUGAACUCAACGAGCGAAGCCAUUUGACGCUUAACUUAUCAGAACGUUAAGAGAUCUGAAAGAUCGAAUGUUUGAAGCUUCAACCGUCUACCAGUGAAAGAUAAAUCAAACGAAGUUACAAUUCCAAACAAGAACAAUAUGCUUACCAAAAACAAAUCACUGCCAUCUUAAACAAGUAAGUCCACAUUUUAAAUGGAGCUAAAGAAUUUUGCUUAUCGUUGUGACGUUGCUAUUUUCUUUCGUCGAUGCUAAGUUGUUGACGCUAAGGUUGAUAUAUGCAAAUUCAUCGCAUUAAAUAACACAAGUUACGCAAUAUGGAAAUUACGACUAAGCUAUAGAGUUUCACGAAAAAGUUAUGGAAAUUCAAGAACAAUCGUCAGGUCCAAAUCAUGUUGAUGAUGCUCAGUCUUUGAACAAUCAUGGUAAUUUGUUUUAUGAAAGUGGAAAUUACGAAAAAGCUAUAGAGUUUUACGAAAAAGCUCUAGAAAUUCAA